GACAGAGGGUGCAAACGUUUGUUCGGAAUUACUGGGCGUAAAGCGCGUGUAGGCGGUCCGGUAAGUCCGCUGUGAAAGUCGGGGGCUCAACCCUCGGAUGCCGGUGGAUACUGUCGGGCUUGAGUACGGAAGAGGCGAGUGGAAUUCCUGGUGUAGCGGUGGAAAUGCGCGAUAUCAGGAGGAACACCAAUUGCGAGGCAGCUCGCUGG
rnacentral:rRNA from 1 species